rnacentral:rRNA from 1 species
AUACGGAGGGUGCAAGCGUUAAUCGGAAUUACUGGGCGUAAAGAGUACGUAGGUGGUUUGUUAAGUCAGAUGAGAAAGCCCCGGGCUCAACCUGGGAACUGCAUUUGAAACUGGCAAGCUAGAGUAUGGUAGAGGGGGGUAGAAUUUCUAGUGUAGCGGUGAAAUGCGUAGAUAUUAGAAGGAAUACCAGUGGCGAAGGCGGCCCCCUGGACCAAUACUGACACUGAGGUACGAAAGCGUGGGUAGCGAACAGGAUUAGAUACCCUAGUAGUCC